UAAACCAUCAAUAUUAUGAUUUAAAGGGAAGUGAAUCAUUCAUUUUGCAUUGUAUUGUGUUUCUGAGUUGUGUAACAGUUUGCACAUCUGUAAAAUCAUUAUUCAAAGUUGUUUCAUCACUCAAUACAGUUGUUGCAUCACUUGCUACCAAAUCUGGGUUUAAAACCACCAAUUUAGAAGCAUUUUUCUAGUGCAAUAUUGAUGAAAGUUUCUGCAUUUUUGGCAAUUGUUAUUGUCAUUUGAUGAAUCUGGAUGUUUCAGUGCUUUCUUCACAUUUGAGCUAGUUUAUUUUACCAUUCCAAACUUGUUUGCACUGUUCAUUUGGUCAAAAUUGAACUACUAUGCAAACUCACUUCCUAAACCAUAAAUUUUGCAUAAAUGUGGAAGUCAACCAGUGAAAUUUUGCUGCAGUGUAUUUCUUGGGUGUUUGAGUGUUUUUACACCUUCUAAUUGAUGAUAUAAACUUGCUUGCACCAUCAAUUAACCUUUCCAAACACUGCCAUACAAUUUUCAGUUUGAAAGCACCAUUUAAAGUGUCAUUUUCUAGUGCAGUUUGACCAUUUUGGUGCUGUUUUUUGCCAUAACAAACUCAGAUUUCUGUAAUAUGGUCAUGACCACCUAAUGUAGACUUAUUCUAAAGUAUGUAAACAUCCUUAGAAUUAAAGGAAAAUCAUCAAAAACAGCACCUAAUGUUCAACUCUACACCAAGAAAAGUACUUAGAAUUUGGUGGUUUUGUGACUCAAAUGAUGUAACAGUAACUCUGCAAUAAAUCUGAGCACUUAAGCAACUUUCUUGGAUGAUUUUAAACAUGUUUGAACUUUGAAUUAACACAAAACAAGACUGCUGCUCAAAAUUACCCUUCCCAAAAUUGACCCAAAAUGGAUGGUUUAAGAAGUGAUUUUGUUCAGAACUGAUUCUGACACUUUACUAACCCUUCGAACAGUUUAAAUCAUCCAAAUAUACUUGUUUAAACUCAAUUUUGGAUCAAAAGAGAACUGCAUCUCAUAUUCACCUUGCAAGUUCCAAAAAUUGCUCAAAUAUGGUGGUUUGACAUACUAAAUUGCAUAGAAAUGUAUCUGACCUCAAAUGGACUGUUUUAACAGUUUUAAAACAACAUUUAGGACUUGUUUAAACUGCCAAACACCUCAGAAUAACAGUGGCACGAAAAAUGACCCAUGAUAUCUCAAAAUUAGUGGUUAAGUUCUUAAAAAUCUGGUUUCACACUCUACAUAAUUCUAGUUUCCAAAACUGUCACAGUGUUUUCAGCCAAGUUUUGCACCGUACUUGAUAUCUUUGAUUGGUCUUUGCUUUAACAAAAUUUGCUAGCUUAAAUCCUGAGGCUAGAUAUAGUCAUUUAGGACCUUCUUGUGCAUUUGAUAGAACCAACC
rnacentral:lncRNA from 1 species